GACGAACGCUGGCGGCGUGCUUAACACAUGCAAGUCGAACGAUGAAGUUCCUUCGGGAAUGGAUUAGUGGCGAACGGGUGAGGAACACGUGAGAAACCUGCCUUUCAUUUUGGGAUAACUCCGGGAAACCGGGGCUAAAACCGAAUACUCCGUCUCGGCGGCAUCGCUGAGCCGGGAAAAAAUUUUGAUGAAAGAUGGUCUCGCGGCCUAUCAGCUAGUUGGUGAGGUAAUGGCUCACCAAGGCAACGACGGGUAGCCGGCCUGGGAGGGCGGCCGGCCACACUGGGACUGAGACACGGCCCAGACUCCUACGGGAGGCAGCGGUGGGGAAUAUUGGGCAAUGGGCGCAAGCCUGACCCAGCGACGCCGCGUGAGGGAUGAAGGCCUUCGGGUUGUAAACCUCUUUCAGUAGGGAAGAAGCGAAAGUGACGGUACCUAAAGAAGAAGCACCGGCUAACUAUGUGCCAGCCGCCGCCGUAA
rnacentral:rRNA from 1 species